ACGGAGGGUGCAAGCGUUAAUCGGAAUUACUGGGCGUAAAGAGUGCGUAGGCGGUUAGGUAAGUUAUCUGUGAAAUCCCUGGGCUUAACCUAGGUAGGAAAGAUAAAACUGCUUGACUAGAGUGUGGUAGAGGAUAGUGGAAUUUCCGGUGUAGCGGUGAAAUGCGUAGAGAUCGGAAGGAACACCAGUGGCGAAGGCGGCUAUCUGGACCAACACUGACGCUGAGGCACGAAAGCGUGGGGAGCAAACAGG
rnacentral:rRNA from 1 species